CUGGGCUGCAGUGGACGACCCAGGCCCGGGAAGGUAUGUUGUGGUACAUGAGGUAUCUGCCAGCCGUACACGUCGCAGUCAGACGCAGAAGUAUUUUU
rnacentral:lncRNA from 1 species